rfam:Octopus bimaculoides Scaffold30991_contig_1, whole genome shotgun sequence.
UACCAUAGCCAAUGAGGGUUAUCCGAGGCGUGGUUAUUGCUAGUUGAAAAAAUAUAUAUAUAUAUAUAUACGAAUAUAUAUAUAUAUACAUAUAUACAUAUAUAUAUAUAUA